rnacentral:lncRNA from 1 species
GUCACGCGCACCUGCGUGUCGUCAGACUCACCUGGACUCCAUCACUUCCCUGAUUACCUUCCUAUAUAUGUCAAUCCCUUUGGUUCUUUCACCAAGCGACAUUGUUUCAGUUUCAUGUCUGUGUGCUGUUAGUGUUUCUUGUUUCGUAUUAUGCUCUGUUUAUUUAAUUAAAACACUCACUCACUCACUCCCUGAACUUGCUUCCUGACUCUCAGCGCACAUUGUUACAGAAUGACGCCUCACCUAAGGGAAGCAUCAGGGAGUGUUUAAAAAAAGAAUACUUUUUAUUAUUAUUAUUUAUUUAUUUUUUGGUGGUAAUGACGUUGAGUCCGGGAGCCGCUACAGGCUAUCAUGCCUCAGACAGAUUGCCAGGCUUCCCGGCCUCCGCCGGUUCGUCAGGCUCUCAUGCCUCAGCCGGAUUGCCAGGCUCUCCUGCUACAGCCAGCUCGUCAGGCUUUCAUGCCUUCUCCGGAUUGCCAGGCUCCCCUGCUUCCACCGGCUGGUCAGGCUCUCAUGCCCGUCAGCCGGUCUGUCAGGUUCCCGCGUCUCAGCCAGGGACAGGUUCCCGCGCAUCAGCAGGGGUGACCGGUCCACUCCUGAUCCCUGGGAUCGUCCCUUUGGUUGGCGUCCUGCGGUUGGAGCCGAACGCGCCUGGGAGGAGGUACCAUCAUGUAUGCUCUCUCCGGCGCUCUAGGUCGCCAUGCUCCCGCAUCUCAGCCGGACUGACAGGUUUCCUGCACCUCAGCAGAGGUCACCAGGCUGCUCAUUAUGGCGCACACCUGUCACCAUCGUUACGCGCUCCUGCGCAUCAUCAGACUCACCUGGACACCAUCACUUCCCUGAUUACCUUCCCUAUAUGUCACUCCCUUUGGUUCCUUCCCCAGGCGUCAUUGUUUCAGUUUCAUGUCUGUGUGCUGUUCGUGUUUCUUGUUUUGUAUUAUGUUCUGUUUAUUUAAUUAAAACACUCACUCCCUGAACUUGCUUCCUGACUCUCAGCGCCCACCGUUACAUUCUUGCAAGACUUGUCUGCUAAAUCAUCAGGCACCCAACA